GACGUAGGGCGCGAGCGUUGUCCGGAUUUAUUGGGCGUAAAGAGCUCGUAGGCGGCUUGUUACGUCGACUGUGAAACCCGCGGCUCAACUGCGGCCUGCAGUCGAUACGGGCAGGCUAGAGUUCGGUAGGGGAGACUGGAAUUCCUGGUGUAGCGGUGAAAUGCGCAGAUAUCAGGAGGAACACCGGUGGCGAAGGCGGGUCUCUGGGCCGAUACUGACGCUGAGGAGCGAAGCGUGGGGAGCGAACAGG
rnacentral:rRNA from 1 species